AUUGAACGCCGGCGGCAGGCCUAACACAUGCAAGUCGAACGGUAGCACAGAGAGCUUGCUCUCGGGUGACGAGUGGCGGACGGGUGAGUAAUGUCUGGGAAACUGCCCGAUGGAGGGGGAUAACUACUGGAAACGGUAGCUAAUACCGCAUAACGUCACGAGACCAAAGUGGGGGACCUUCGGGCCUCACACCAUCGGAUGUGCCCAGAUGGGAUUAGCUAGUAGGUGGGGUAAUGGCUCACCUAGGCGACGAUCCCUAGCUGGUCUGAGAGGAUGACCAGCCACACUGAAACUGAGACACGGUCCAGACUCCUACGGGAGGCAGCAGUGGGGAAUAUUGCACAAUGGGCGCAAGCCUGAUGCAGCCAUGCCGCGUGUAUGAAGAAGGCCUUCGGGUUGUAAAGUACUUUCAGCGGGGAGGAAGGCGGUGAGGUUAAUAACCUCGCCGAUUGACGUUACCCGCAGAAGAAGCACCGGCUAACUCCGUGCCAGCAGCCGCGGUAA
rnacentral:rRNA from 1 species